UGGCUGACGUCCUUUCAUGGACUCCAAUGGUCGUCGGAUGUUCUCUGCGCUUGCGGAAAGUGUGACAGUUUGGGGUACUGCUGGCGGUGGUUACCCUGGUGAUAAUAAUGGGGGGAAGCGAGAGCACCGGCCGACGGGUGUCCUUCGGGCUGGAUGAGGAGGACAGGGUGCGGGUCCUGCGAGGAGUCCGGCUUUCUGAUGAUAUUGUAAAUCGUAUGAAAGAGUCUGCGCUGCAGAGAGACAAGCACGACAAGGCGGCAAGGACCACCUCAUCAGCUCAGACUUUUCCUCCUAGGGGGCAGUCUACAUCAGAAGACAUAGGCUCUCACCGAUCAAAUACAGGCGGAAGCAAGCAGCCAACAUAUGCAGAGGAUGAACUAUACAGAAGAUAUGAGAAGGAACAAGCCAUUGUCCAGGAGGAACUGGCCCGCAUUGCCAAGAGAGAGCGCGAGACAGCUCAGGAGCUGUACAGCUCUGCCAUUCUUCGUGAGAAGAACUACACAAACCAGGAGCGCGUGAGGACCGAGCAGCUGCCUGCGGAUUUGGAUGAAUGGGCCAAGAAACUUCAGUGUAAAGAGGAAGAGCUUAAAAAGCUGGAUGCUUUUCACAAGGAGCAACUGGCAAGCAUCGAGAAGAAGAAUCUGGAAAUAUACAAGUUGACAGCUGAACAAUUCCACACUGCAGCGACUAAUGCAGAGUACCGAGUAAAGAAAAGAAGUUAUGACCCGGUUUGCAUGAAUCUUCAGUCCAAUAUUCUCAAAUGUUACACAGCAAACCGCCAAGAGCUUCUCAACUGCAGCGACCUUGCCAAAGAAUAUCGUGCCUGCGUGAGGGAGGCUCAGAAGGAAGUUGCAGUAUAUUAACAGCCAGAGAGCAAAUGGGAGCCAGCCUUUUGUUAAAUUUAAAUCUAUCUUGUCAGGAAAAAACCUGCUCUUCAAUCACGGCUAAUUCGCCUAUUGUGCAAAGGAAGGAAGGAGCUGACCGUCCUUAUAUCUUAGGAGCUGAAGACUGACUACAGGCAAAUGAAGAGUUAAUGUAGAUUUUAUAGAUGGUAAAACAGUAAGAUUCUAUUGCAGAAUAUGAAUUCUAAGACUCGUCCAUCAGACAUAUAUAUUGGUGGGUUCAGCCAACUUUAAUCUAAGGUACCUGAGGCAGAACCUGACACAUGGAUUCACAGAACACCAAAUAGAGACCCUGCACUAGGUACAGUGUAUCGUAUUAGGUUUAUCUGGAAUGUUCCUUUAAAGGGAACCUGUCACACUGAAAAUGCUAUCUAAUCUGCAGACAUUAUGUUAUAGAGCAGGUUGAUAUGUACGUUUGCGCGAAAAAUUCCAGAAUAACUUGUCAUUUAUAUUUAUUAUUAUGUAAACCUCUGCUCUUUCUAGGCUAAGUAGUCAUGUGGGCGGGCCUACUUAUUUUGAUCACAGCUAUAUAUAAAUAAAUGUCAAGUCAUCCUGAAAUUUAUAAUUUUUUCCUGAAAUUAUUCUGCUCAGCCCCUCUUGCUCUAUAAAAUUAUCCCUGCGGAUUAGACCAAAUUUUUACAGGUUCUCUUUAAACUCAUUUAUCCUGAAAAAUGGCUGCCACAUAUUACAAUAUAGAUUUCAAGAGCAUUGAGCCACAACACCGAAAUCCAAAAUUGAUACAGUGUUAUGCCUGGUGUAGGGCCUCAGGGGUCAGAACCAGGAUUUACAUUGUGUCAUGAAUUAUCCCCUCAGGCCCUACAGUAGGCAUAACACAGUGUGCCAGUUUUGCCUGGAGUGUUCUAUGAAAUUUAAAGGAAAACUGUCAGCAAGUUCACCCACACUAAACAGACUACACUGGGUUAUAGUGUGGGUGAACAGGAGUUCAUACAGGGGUCACUUACUUUUUUUGGUCCAUCAGCUGCCGAGUUAUGCCCGUUAUUCCUUUCUUCAGUGUAUGAUUAGCGUUUUCAAGGCGGGACCCCGGACGGCUGUCUGCUUCGGCCUCCCGCACUGAAGUUUCUAUGCCUGACCCCGUUGUUUGAAUAUUCAUUAUCUUCAAGUCCACGUCCUGAACGCAGCGCUCUGUUUUCAGAGCGCAUGCGCAUAGAGAUUUUACCCAGCUCUCACGUCCUGAUGAUGUGAGAACUCUGCGUACUGCUCUCGCUCUGCGCAGUGGCACUGCGAAUGCACCGGUCCCUCACUACACUCGGAAGUCGGGAGAAGCAAGACUUCAGUAUCAACGUACACACAGCAUCAUGCGCAUGCGCUCUGCAAACAGAGCGCUGCGCUCAGGGGAUAUGUGACCCCACGUCACUAGGACGUGGAUUUGAAGAUAAUGAUUAUUCAAAUAACGGGGGCAGGCAUAGA